rnacentral:snoRNA from 1 species
ACCCCACACUAUUAAGCCGGCAGUUUCAGUGUAUCCUAAUUGAAAAUGUGAGCUCGUUGUGGGAACAGCAAAGUCUGCUAAUUGUGUAUGGUUGUAUUGAUUAUGUGGAUGCAAUCAAAGAAUUAUUGCGGGACA